rnacentral:rRNA from 1 species
AUUGAACGCUGGCGGCAGGCCUAACACAUGCAAGUCGAGCGGAUGAAGGGAGCUUGCUCCUGGAUUCAGCUGCGGACGGGUGAGUAAUGCCUAGGAAUCUGCCUGGUAGUGGGGGAUAACGUCCGGAAACGGGCGCUAAUACCGCAUACGUCCUGAGGGAGAAAGUGGGGGAUCUUCGGACCUCACGCUAUCAGAUGAGCCUAGGUCGUAUUAGCUAGUUGGUGGGGUAAAGGCCUACCAAGGCGACGAUCCGUAACUGGUCUGAGAGGAUGAUCAGUCACACUGGAACUGAGACACGGUCCAGACUCCUACGGGAGGCAGCAGUGGGGAAUAUUGGACAAUGGGCGAAAGCCUGAUCCAGCCAUGCCGCGUGUGUGAAGAAGGUCUUCGGAUUGUAAAGCACUUUAAGUUGGGAGGAAGGGCAGUAAGUUAAUACCUUGCUGUUUUGACGUUACCAACAGAAUAAGCACCGGCUAACUUCGUG